UACGUAGGGGGCAAGCGUUGUUCGGAAUUACUGGGCGUAAAGGGCGCGUAGGCGGCAUGGCAAGUCGGGAGUGAAAGGCCUGGGCUCAACCGAGGAACUGCUUUCGAGACUGCCAAGCUAGAGUGCGGAAGGGGCAUCUGGAAUUCCCAGUGUAGCGGUGAAAUGCGUAGAUAUUGGGAAGAACACCUGAGGCGAAGGCGGGAUGCUGGGCCGACACUGACGCUGAGGCGCGAAAGCCAGGGGAGCAAACGGGG
rnacentral:rRNA from 1 species